AUGGCCACAUCAUGUUAAAACACAGGUUCCCGUACAAUCACUGAAGUUAAGCAACAUCGAGCCUGGUCAGUAUCUAGGUGGGUGACAUCUUGGAAAUACCAGAUGCUGUAA